rnacentral:rRNA from 1 species
UACGUAGGGGGCAAGCGUUGUCCGGAUUUAUUGGGCGUAAAGAGCGUGUAGGCGGCCAGACAGGUCCGUUGUGAAAACUCGAGGCUCAACCUCGAGAUGUCGAUGGAAACCGUCUGGCUAGAGUCCGGAAGAGGAGUGUGGAAUUCCUGGUGUAACGGUGAAAUGUGUUGAUAUCAGGAGGAACACCCAUGGCGAAGGCAGCAAACUGGUCAUCAACUGACGCUGAGGCGCGAAAAGCGUGGGUACGCAAACAGG